AUUGAACGCUAGCGGCAGGCUUAACACAUGCAAGUCGAGCGGGGUGAUGGUGCUUGCACUAUCACUUAGCGGCGGACGGGUGAGUAAUGCUUAGGAAUCUGCCUAUUAGUGGGGGACAACACCUCGAAAGGGAUGCUAAUACCGCAUACGUCCUACGGGAGAAAGCAGGGGAUCACUUGUGACCUUGCGCUAAUAGAUGAGCCUAAGUCGGAUUAGCUAGUUGGUGGGGUAAAGGCCUACCAAGGCGACGAUCUGUAGCGGGUCUGAGAGGAUGAUCCGCCACACUGGGACUGAGACACGGCCCGGACUCCUACGGGAGGCAGCAGUGGGGAAUAUUGGACAAUGGGGGGAACCCUGAUCCAGCCAUGCCGCGUGUGUGAAGAAGGCCUUAUGGUUGUAAAGCACUUUAAGCGAGGAGGAGGCUCUUUUGGUUAAUACCCAAGAUGAGUGGACGUUACUCGCAGAAUAAGCACCGGCUAACUCUGUGCCAGCCGCCGCCGUAA
rnacentral:rRNA from 1 species